rnacentral:rRNA from 1 species
GACCUGCCGGACCUGACUGCUAUCGGAUUGGUACUAAGCCAUGCGAGUCGUUGUACAAUACAAGGCGGACUGCUCAGUAACACGUAGUUAACUUAACCUAUGGAUGGGAAUAACCUCGGGAAACUGAGAAUAAUACCCAAUGGGCCACAGUGCCUGGAAUGGCCUGUGGUUGAAAUGAUUUAUCGCCGUAGGAUAGGACUGCGGCCUAUCAGCUUGUUGGUGAGGUAAUGGCCCACCAAGGCUAUAACAGGUACGGGCUCUGAGAGGAGGGGCCCGGAGAUGGGUACUGAGACACGGACCCAGGCCCUAUGGGGCGCAGCAGGCGAGAAACCUUUGCAAUGUGCGAAAGCACGACAAGGUUAAUCCGAGUGUCUCCUGCUAAAGGAGUCUUUUGUCAGUUGUAGAAUCACUGGUGAAUAAGGGGUGGGCAAGUUCUGGUGUCAGCCGCCGCGGUAAAACCAGCACCUCGAGUGGUCAGGAGGUUUAUUGGGCCUAAAGCAUCCGUAGCCGGUUGCAUAAGUUUUCGGUUAAAUCUAUGCGCUUAACGUAUAGGCCGCCGAAAAUACUGUGCAGCUAGGGAGUGGGAGAGGUACACGGUACUCGAU